GAUGAACGCUAGCGGCAGGCCUAAUACAUGCAAGCCGAACGGCAAGUUUGAUAGCAUUCUUGGACCUAGAGUGGCGCAAGGGUGCGUAACACGUAUGCAACCUGUCCGUGACAGGAGGAUAGCUCCCCGAAAGGGGAAUUAACCCUCCAUAACACCAUUAGAAGGCAUCUGAUCAUGGUUAAAACGCAAUGGGUCGCGGACGGGCAUGCGGGUGAUUAGCUAGUUGGCGGGGUAAAGGCCCACCAAGGCGGUGAUCAAUAGGGGUGCUGAGAGGAAGGUCCCCACACUGGCACUGGGAUACGGGCCAGACUCGUACGGGAGGCAGGAGUAGGGACGAUAUGGGAAUGGUUGCAAGACUGAACCAGCCAGUCCGCGUGGAAGAAGAAGGCCUUCUAGGUCGUAAACAGCUUUUACCAAUGGAUAAAAAACCCGUGCGCGGGGAAUUGAAGGUAACAGGGGAAUAAGCCACGGCUAACUACGUG
rnacentral:rRNA from 1 species